UACGAAGGGUGCAAACGUUGCUCGGAUUUACUGGGCGUACAGGGAGCGUAGGCGGUUGGGUAAGCCCUCCGUGAAAUCUCCAGGCUUAACCUGGAAAGUGCAGAGGGGACUGCUUAGCUAGAGGAUGGGAGAGGAGCGCGGAAUUCCCGGUGUAGCGGUGAAAUGCGUAGAGAUCGGGAGGAAGGCCGGUGGCGAAGGCGGCGCUCUGGAACAUUUCUGACGCUGAGGCUCGAAAGCGUGGGGAGCAAACAGG
rnacentral:rRNA from 1 species